AUAAAUUCUUGCGUCUGGUUGAAACCGAACCCACCGGCUCAGCCACAUAUUGCAUCGUAUCGUCAUGGGUUGAGCCGUUGAGGUCACUACCGGGAGGCGGGAGGCACGCAGGUCGCCCUACAGGCCUACACAUAUCGUUCUCCCUCUCUUUCACCCAUGACCCAUUUAUAAUCAUUUAUACUCCCAGAUUUGCUUCUCACCUUUUCUGUAUCAGAUCCAGCAAGUGCGUUAGACAUAACCUGGGGGCAGCAGAGGACUAGCCGGUAGCGUCAACAGGCUGGAUGGAGCAAACUUCCUCUUCUACUCCUCAUCUGUUGCCGCUCCAAUUCAUUCCAUGGAUGAUGCCCUCAUUGUGCUCGAUGAAAUGGGCACAUGGUAGAGCGGCGGCUGGCAGCUCCUACUCAUUCCAUGGAUGAUGCCCUCAAUGUGCUCGAUAACAGCCGGCUGCCUUGCUCCACUAUUUUAUGCUCAUUAGUAUGACAAACACUGAAACAGAGCCUGAGGCACACAACAAAACAGGAGCUAGCAGGAGUAAUACUUGUGCAAGGGAAAAUGAGUUGGAUCUGAAUGUUCCUUGCUGCCGGUGCAAGUCCAUCAUGGAAGUCUUCUUAAAUCUUUCCAUUGACAUGAGUUGAUCAAUCAUGAACUGUCAAGCAUCUCGAUUCUGCUGCUCUCGUCUGAGCAACUAAUGGACACACGACAUAUUUGUUCUCUGUACGGUGGAGUUUGCCAGCAAGUUCAGGAUCAGCAUGUGACCUCAGAGGUUGUUGUAUAAGGGGAUUUGGUCCCAUCUUCGCCGGUUUCUUGGACUCACUGCUUAUCUUUGUUGAUCUCCUUGGAGUCCAGGCUUUUCACUGAAAUUUCCAAUUCUUCUCGCUUCUUGGAGGAAGGAAACAAGGGAAACAAGAAUAGGAUACAUGGGCCCUGUUUGUUUUGGCUUUUCGCAGCUUCUAACCACCAAAAGUUACUGCAGACUGCCAAACACUCAGCUUUUCAGUCAGCUUUUAUAAAAUUCGUUUGGUAAAAACCAUUCAAAAUCAACAUAAACAUAUAAUCGGUUGAGUCAUCACAAUAGUAAUAAUCCGUCAUUUUAUAGAUCAUAAGCCCCAUGGACAACUUUAUCUUCCUCCGCACGUAAUCCUAAUGAUAUUCAGAUUCUCUACACAGCCAGAUUCUCCCCACAGCUAGAUUCUCGGAAAAGCUGGUCAGAAAAAAGCUGAACCAAACAGGCACAUGGAUAGCUUCGUGAAGCUAGCGAGGACGGUGGUGGAGAAAACACGCCAGUCAUAGUACAGAUACAAGAACUGCUUUGAGGGGCCGUGGGUGUCAUGUCACCAGCACAGGUGGAUGCUUACAUUGCUUCUGACAUAAAGAAUAAAACAAACAUUGGUAAGUUUUCUCUUCGAGCAGCAGUGGAUGUGGAUGUGUGCAUUCAGAUGUUGGUAAGAAGAUUCUUCGUUUUCCUUUGAAUUCCAAAAGUUCGUGCUAGAAUAUAAGACAAUUUUUAUUCUAGUCACAUAAUAUAAUAAGGCGUGCUCUUUCUAGACAUGUAUAUACCAAAAUAGUAUAGAGAAUUAAAUACAUUUAUUGAGUUAGUUACGCCUUUUAUACUAUAAUGGAGGGAGAGAGAGAGAGAGUAUAUUUUAUGAAAUUUCUUGAACUUAGUGCUGGUUCUGGGAGUAGUUGCUUUAGUGAUACACGUGAACUUACGUCCUGUUUGGAUCCUUGGAAUUGAAUUCCAUUCUAAAAAUAGUAAUUUAAACAAAGAUCAAUUAAGCUAAUAUUGUUUUAUGUGAAAUAUAUUUGUACACUAUUAUUAGCAAUAUUUGUGAGGCCUAGAGACGUCCUGGGAGGCCUAGAGGUGUUUUGCCUCUUGCCGCUAGGCCCCAGGCAGUAAGACCACGUGGUGGCCGUGCCCGACGGGAUGCUGGUCGUGUGCCAUAUGGCCAAGGACCAUGUGACAGAGGAUUUGGUUCAUACUUCCCCAGCGGACUACAAUUUCCUUCUUAUGGUGAUCGCUUCCCUUCGGGACCGAGGAUGUUUGGUGUUUUUCCUAACACUUUUCAGGGGCAAAUGCCGCAGCACUGGUAUUCUUCACAGUUUACUUACCCCAGUGCUGUGCCAUUUGCUCACCCCGGGUGUUACUAUUGAUGCAGGACGGAGGCUUGGAGAACACGUGGCUCAUGGAUACCGGCUGUUCGUGCCACAUGACCGGAAGCUCAAAAUGGUUCUCCAGCCUCGACCCCGUGAUUGGUAAGGAAUACAUCACAUUCGAGGAUAAGUGAAGAGGUAAGGUUGUUUCUCGUGGCACCAUUCGGGUGAACGAGAGCUUUAUUCUCAAGGAUGUUGCUUUGGUCUCGAAUCUGCAUUUCAAUCUACUUUCAGUUUCGCAACUCCUUGAGGAUGACUAUGAAGUGCGCUUUAAAAAGGGCUUGUCUCGAGUUUUGGAUGCCCGUGGGGAUCUUAUUUGCCAUAUUUCCCCUUUUGAUCGAGUUUUCAGUGCUGAUUUUUCACAUUCUUCUGGCCCUUCUCGAUGUUUGUUGGUAGGAUCUUCCUCUUCCCUUUGGAAGUGGCAUAGGAGGCUAGGUCACUUGAGCUUUGAUCUUUUGUGUCGUUUGAGCUCACUUGACCUCAUCUAAGGAUUGACUAAAUUAAAAUUUGAGAAAGAUCUUGUCUGUCACCCUUGUCGUCGUGGCAAAAUGAUUGCCGCUUCCCAUUCCCCGGUCACUAAGGUGAUGACCUCGCAUCCUGGCGAAUUGCUUCAUAUGGACACUGUUGGUCCAGCCAGGGUUUGCUCUUUUAGAGGGAAGUGGUAUGUGCUUGUGGUUGUCGAUGACUUCUCUCGCUACUCUUGGGUGUUCUUUAUGACGGCGAAGGAUGAGGCUUUUACUCAUGCUCGAGAUUUGAUUCUUCGGUUGUAAAAUGAGUUUCCUAAAAAUGCCAUGAGAGCUAUACGCAGUGACAAUGGCUCAAAAUUCAAAAACACUCAAUUUGCAACCUUUUGUGCUUCUUUCGGACUUGAGCAUCAGUUUCCUCUCCGUAUGUGCCCCAGCAAAAUGGUAUUGUUGAACGCAAAAAUCGGACCCUUGUUGAGAUGGCCAGGACGAUGCUUGAUGAGCAUAGGACUCCAAGGCGUUUUUGGGUCGAAGCGAUCAACACUGCUUGCCAUGUGUCCAAUCACAUCUUUCUUUGGGCUCUGAACAAAACUUCUUAUGGGCUGCGAUUUGGACGGCCACCCAAGGUCAGUCAUUUCAGGGUAUUUGGCUGCAGAUGCUUUGUGCUAAGAUGUCAUGGGCAUCAUAGGGAGCGAGAGGCAACAGCCAGGCUGGGAUAAGGCUAGAGAAUAAGAUUGAGAUGAGCUAGGAUAAGGCUAGAGAAUAAGAUUGAGAUGAGAGAAUUGUGGAGAGUUGGUUAGCAGUAGAUAAGUCCAAGAAAGUAGGAGUUAGUUGAGAGUUUGUAGGAGAAGUUGGUUAGCCAUAGGGCUAUUUAUAAGCCGCAUGGCAGCAGGGAAUAAAUCAAGCAAGAUCAUUAUCAAACCAAUCUCUCUCUCUCUUGCAAUGACCCUCUCAAGCGUCUAGGGCUGCUACCCUAGAACCAAGCCUGCGGCAGAGGGGUAUAACCUCGCCGGAGAAGACAACCCCAUGGACCGAAGGUCCAUGACACCUGGUAUCAGCUCCAGGUUAUCCUCACCACCACCAGCCGCCCAUCCCUCACCACCACCAGCCGCCGCACCAUCUGCUGCCGCAACGCCCUCCCACCCACCCUCUCCAACUCUAGAUGCAUUCACUCGGCUCGAAGAGAAGUGGGACCAAUUCGUUGUGAUGUUCCACCGCUACAAGGAGAAGACAGAGAAGGAACUCCAAGCAGCGGUGCGGCUUCAGGCGGCAGCGCAAGGGUUCCUGGCACGCCGCCAGGUACAGUCCCUUCGUGGGGAGAAGCACCUUGCUGUGGCCUCCAGGGCCACCCCAUGGCCGUCAUCACAUGAGCAGGUCGUGGUGCGCCUGCAAGCCGCAGUGCGCGGCUUCCUUGUUAGGCGGGCGGUGCGGAAGCUGCACUUGUUGAUCAGCUCAUCGCUGCACCAACUCGCACCUGCGCGCCCAACCACCAGGUCUCGUCUAUACUUUUUGAACCCACUGCAGAAGUCGAGAUCUGGGUAUGCAGCCCCCCUGCACGGCCAAAGAGGGUCGUCUCCUUCAUUCGGGCAACUGCCUUGGUGCUGGACAGACCCAACAUAAGAACGGGCUGGUUCCUCCUUCACCUGUCAUCCAACGUGAAGUCCGCAGUUCAGCUCUUUCCUUGGGAUCCAGGAGGACAGGAGGACAUAGCUGGAGUUCAAAUUUAUAUUUUAGUUCCACAAUUAUUUUGUAUUUUCGUCUUAAAUAAUAAAGGUAAGCCGAGAUGUAAAAGGCUUAACCUUAAGUCGUGUCAGGUAAGUCUAUGGCAGCUCGAGGACGAGCUGGUCCUCAAGGGAGGGGGAGAUGUCAUGGGCAUCAUAGGGAGCGAGAGGCAACAGCCAGGCUGGGAUAAGGCUAGAGAAUAAGAUUGAGAUGAGCUAGGAUAAGGCUAGAGAAUAAGAUUGAGAUGAGAGAAUUGUGGAGAGUUGGUUAGCAGUAGAUAAGUCCAAGAAAGUAGGAGUUAGUUGAGAGUUUGUAGGAGAAGUUGGUUAGCCAUAGGGCUAUUUAUAAGCCGCAUGGCAGCAGAGAAUAAAUCAAGCAAGAUCAUUAUCAAACCAAUCUCUCUCUCUCUCUUGCAAUGACCCUCUCAAGCGUCUAGGGCUGCUACCCUAGAACCAAGCCUGCGGCAGAGGGGUAUAACCUCGCCGGAGAAGACAACCCCAUGGACCGAAGGUCCAUGACAUAAAACAAGGUAAUCUGGACAAGUUUGAGUCCCGGUCUUCUGAUGGGGUUUUUCUGGGUUAUGCAUUACAUUAUCAUGCUUAUCGUGUUCUUAACCUAGAGAAUAACUGCAUUAUGGAGACUUGUGAGGUUACAUUCGAUGAGACUGCACCUUGUCCAUCCCCUGUCUUUGAGCCUGUAGGUCCAGAUCAGAUGGGAUAGACCAUCUUUGUGGAGGAGGAGCACGACGACGCUGAUUGGGUUGCUCUCGAGCCAACUCCACCGGCCGCCCCAGUCGAGCCUGCUUCCACUACUACGGCUGAUGGACCCGACCCCACUCCUUCCACCACUUGGGGUCCGCUCGAGCCAGCUCCUGCUGAGACUGGAGGAGUUGAAGCUGCUGUUGAGGGGGAGGCCACUUCCUCAAGGGAGGCUCCACAACAUAUUCAACGCUGUCACCCACCUCAGCAGAUGAUCGGGGAGUUUCACGAGCGAGUCACUCACUCUAGGUCACAACACAUUUCUCAUUUUGCUCACUCAGCUUUUGUUGCUACUUUUGAGCCCUGAGAUGUUGGGCAUGCUUUAUCUGAUCCUAACUGGGUUAAUGCUAUGCAUGAGGAGCUUGAAAAUUUUGAAAGAAAUCAA